GUGGGGCCAGAGGCGGGACAGGCAUCUUUUACGCAAAAAGUCUGACCUUCGUGGAUGAUCAGCGUAGGAGGCUGAACCACGCUCCCUCUGCCCCGAAGACGUCCGUGUCCUAAUCCCCGGAACCUGGGAAUAUGUUAUCGUACAUGGAAAAGGGGACUUUGCAGGUGUGAUCAAGCCACCUGUUGGCCGGGCCCUGUGCGUGUCUGCUCUGCCUCGGUCUCAGUUGCCUUUGGCGUCAUGUCUCCUUGGUCUCUUCCGACCUGGAAAAGCUCCUCAGUCUCCUCUUCUGUUUCGUGAAUUUGACUUUUCGAAGAGCACUCGUCAGUCACCCACCGGGGGCGAGUUUCCUUGCCAGGACCUGGAGCCGGACCACGUCCCUCCCAGUGGCUGCCAGGUACCCACCUCGGGAAAGCGCAUCAUUGUUAGCCGACCCCCAGCUGAAGGACAUUAGGUGCUUUGCAAGUUGUUGCUCACAAACAAUGCUGAGUGUUCCUAUUUACGCACAUUUCUUUGGCUUCUUGUGCUU